CGAUCAUUAAGCCAAUGGUUAAGCUAUCUUUUUGUCGCAAAGAAUAUCCGGGUUCAAUUCCUGGGUGAUCAC
rfam:Amphimedon queenslandica AMPQTscaffold_13485_Cont1464, whole genome shotgun sequence.